GGAGAUUCAUUACCAGACAUGGCUGUUCAGCUCCUCUGUCCCACCUUACACAUGUCUGUGAACUGCACUUCUAAAUUAAAGGAAUUUUUCAACUCGAAGCUAUACAUGAUUGGAGUGGUGGGAAUCGGGAUUGCAGGUGUGAUGAUUUUUGGGAUGAUUUUCAGUAUGGUUCUGUGCUGUGCGAUUCGCAAUUCACGGGAUGUGAUGUGACAUUGGGACGACCACACCAACUUUCUCACUGCUCUGUGCACCUUUCAAAUUGGGAAUCAAUCCAUUAUCUGUUUGCUUGUUGUUAAUUUGACGUAGAUGCCAGUUAUUUUUCUGUAUGUUAAAGAACCUGGACAGAGUGCCAUUCUUGUAAAUGCUUCAAUUAUUUUACAUAAACUUGUGAACUUCA